rnacentral:lncRNA from 1 species
CGGGCGGCGGUCCGAGGGGUCCCGGCUGUGAGGGGCGGGGGGUCCCGCUGUGAGGGGGCGUUGGUCUGAGGGUCUCUGUGGGGAGAGGGCGUUGGUCCGGUGGGUUCUCGUGAGGAGGGGGCGGCCGGGUGUGAAGGGUUGUGUGAGGGACUUUUGGGGGUGUGCGGAGAGAGUAACUAGCUGUGAGGGGUUGUGUGAGGAGCAGUUUUAGGGGAUAAGAGAGGAGCUGCUGAGGGAUAGGAGAACAGGAGAGAGCUGGCAUGUGGGGGUGCUGAGAGAAGUUUGGGAAAUAAUUUGUGGAAGCCCCAUGUGGGGACACUGAGUGGGGAGAGGGGCCUGAGGGAGAAGAUGAUGGGGGGCUGCUGCUGAGGCCAUUUGAGCUCAGCCAGCAUUUUGAGGAGCAGCAGGCCUGAGGGAGAAUGAGGAAACUGAGGAAAGGUGUGGGGCAGACCUCAGCAAGGAGGUACUUGGGGCCUGGACAUGUGUAGGGGAGAGGUCUGGCACGGAUGGGAACUUUUUGGGGACAAUGUGGAAGAGGACAGUAGGUUUGGGGUAAGCGGUCUGUGGUGAGGACAUGGAUCCAAGUGGAGCUGCCUCUCUGGCCAGGGGGAGCUCAUCUACAGGCUGUGACAGUCCCAGGAAGUGAUUACAGCUGGAGGAAUUCUAAACAGUCCACUUCUCCUUGUCAUGGUGUUUGAGUGCAUUGUGCUCCCGUCUGAACGGAGGAAAUCACUGAGGUUUUCCCUCACAGCUGAGUCAGCAGAAGAGAGUGUUCUGUGCCUGACCCUGCUGGGUUAGUGCUGCCUGUCUCCGCUCAGACCCCAGCCCGACAGUGCUGUGACUACCCUGGCCUUUGUCCUAGACUGGCUGGUGUAGGGAUGUGUAUUUACACCGUGGUACAGGGAAGUAACCUCUGGAAGAGAGUUGGCUGGAGAGUAUGACUGGAACUGCUGGACAAAAGGUGGUGGAACUCUUCUGAGAACUCCUAGAUUCCAUAUUAGCAUGGU